AUUUGAAGAGAGAAUAAAUCAAUGUUCUUUAGUGUAAGCACACAUCAUAAAUAUAUGUUUAGUGUUUCAUAUUCACUCAAGCAUAAAAAAAAAUAAAUCCGCAGUACAAAAAUAGAUCGGAUGAGAUGUUCUGAAAUAUGAGGUAAAUACGACAUUUAAUUCAAUCCUUCAAUCAAACAAAUUUGAUUUUAUGUUUACACAAUUAAUCAAUCAUUUCAAUUCAAGCAAAAUGUGAGUUGACAAAGACUUAGCAACGAACAGUCUGGGAUAUACAAGUGAAGAAGAAAAAACAAAACUUCUAAAGUAAGAAUGAAGGCGAUUUAGUAUUUUCAAUGUUCACUUUGGUGUUUUACUUUUCAUGCUCACAAAUAUUGCAUUUUCUGAACUUGUAGCACAUCUCAUGAUAACACAAUAGUCUCAGUAUCAAAUAACGUCUUGAGUAAUUAGGUUACAUUCAACACCGUAUGAACAAGAAUCAAAAUUAUUUUUUAAAAUUUUAGCAAAACGAGGAAAGAAAGAUAAUCCUGCAAACAAAAUUUGCCAAAGAAGAAUUGGUUAUAAAAUUAUUGC